rnacentral:rRNA from 1 species
GUGGCGGACGGGUGAGUAACACGUGGGUAACCUGCCCUUAAGUGGGGGAUAACAUUUGGAAACAGAUGCUAAUACCGCAUAAAUCCAAGAACCGCAUGGUUCUUGGCUGAAAGAUGGCGCAAGCUAUCGCUUUUGGAUGGACCCGCGGCGUAUUAGCUAGUUGGUGAGGUAACGGCUCACCAAGGCAAUGAUACGUAGCCGAACUGAGAGGUUGAUCGGCCACAUUGGGACUGAGACACGGNCCAAACUCCUACGGGAGGCAGCAGUAGGGAAUCUUCCACAAUGGACGCAAGUCUGAUGGAGCAACGCCGCGUGAGUGAAGAAGGCUUUCGGGUCGUAAAACUCUGUUGUUGGAGAAGAAUGGUCGGCAGAGUAACUGUUGUCGGCGUGACGGUAUCCAACCAGAAAGCCACGGCUAACUACGUGCCAGCAGCCGCGGUAAUACGUAGGUGGCAAGCGUUAUCCGGAUUUAUUGGGCGUAAAGCGAGCGCAGGCGGUUUUUUAAGUCUGAUGUGAAAGCCCUCGGCUUAACCGAGGAAGUGCAUCGGAAACUGGGAAACUUGAGUGCAGAAGAGGACAGUGGAACUCCAUGUGUAGCGGUGAAUGCGUAGAUAUAUGGAAGAACACCAGUGGCGAAGGCGGCUGUCUGGUCUGU